GUCAUUUUGAGUGUUCGUCGAACGAAGCUAACAAAAAUAAAAAAAGACAAAUACAAAAUCCGGUCAAAAUUGGGAAAAAUAAUUGAAUUUUAGACGUAAUUUUUUCGUAAAUCGUGAUCAAAUCCUGACAGAAUCGUUCGUGCGCCAUGGAACAAGUACUUCAGAACCAACUUUUGUCGGCUGCCGUGCAACUGGAGCGCCAACUCGAUGCCGAAAUCGAUCGCAUGGACAACCUGGGACUCGAUGACCUCGAUAAAAUCCGCGAAAAUCGCCUGAAGGAGAUGAAAAAACUCGCGCAACAGAAGCAAGAAUGGCGAAAUAUCGGGCAUGGCGAAUACACGGAGCUCGCUGACGAGAAGGAAUUCUUCGAGGUGUCGAAAAAAAGCAAAAAUAUCGUGUGUCACUUUUAUCGCGACGUCACGGAACGCUGCAAAAUUGUCGAUAUGCACAUGAAGAUACUCGCGCCGAAGCAUCUCGAGGCACGCUUUUGCAAGGUGAAUGCCGAAAAGUGCCCGUUCCUCACGCAACGCCUUAGAAUUAAAGUGAUUCCGAGCAUUGCGCUCAUCAAAGACAGCAAAACGAAAGAUUACAUUGUCGGAUUUACGGACUUGGGCAAUUGCGAUGACUUUAGUACGGAGAUGCUCGAAUGGAGAAUUGCUCAGAGUGGCGCAAUUGAGUACAGCGGGGACUUGUUGACACCUCCCGAUGAGAAACGCACGAAGAAACCCACGCAAAAGGGCAAGACAAUCAAGGGAGGUUACGAUUCGGAUGACUCAGACAUCGAUUUUGAUGAUUAGUGACGAGGAGAAAGGCAGUUUCCGGCAUCCAGUGUAGUAAUUUUAAGUGAUCCGCACACAAUCACAUCCCCCGUAAAAACUAUAUUUUAUCGUCGCGUCCCAUGCCAAAGGCAUCCCGUAUUAUUUUGUAUGUUAAGGCAUUUAUUUCGUUGUAAUUUGUAACCCUCAUGCUUUGUAUCGAUAUAUUUUUUUGACUGGGUAGACCAUGCAAAUCCUGAACAUUCACGGUAACAUUACCAAGGAAAAAAGACAAAAUUAAGUGGCUUCUCGAUGUAAUCAAACACAAAAAAAAAAAAAAUAAAAAAAAAAUCACGCGCGCGCAAUACUCAAAAAUUGUAACUUCAGUUC